rnacentral:piRNA from 1 species
UACUUACCCAUAAGUGUGUGGAUCCUAGG